UAGUAUUCAAUUGUCAGAGGUGAAAUUCUUGGAUUUAUUGAAGACUAACUACUGCGAAAGCAUUUGCCAAGGAUGUUUUCAUUAAUCAAGAACGAAAGUUAGGGGAUCGAAGACGAUCAGAUACCAUCGUAGUCUUAACCAUAAACUAUGCCGACUAGGGAUCGGAUGAUGUUAAUUUUUUAAUGACUCA
rnacentral:rRNA from 1 species